GGGUGGAAGGACCGAGCCUGGAAGGAAACCCCGUGUGAAAUCCCCAGCCUGCUUUGCAGAUGUUGGGCUGCUUCUGGGUGAGAUUUUAGCUUUUGCAGAUGUCUGAAACGCUCCCGGUGGGCUUGGUGCCUCGCUGCAGUAAACACAGGGGGGAGCUGGAAGAAGUGGGGAGAGCCGUGAUGUCUUCCAGGAGCUGUCUCAGGAGAGGGACUGGACCAGCCUGAAGGCCACCAGAGCCAAAGCCCAGCAGCACAGCUUGGGACACAAGCAUCCCACACGCGGGACUAUUUUGAUGGAGCCGGAGAAGUGAUGACACAAAUAGCUGAUGACACAAAUAGUUCUGCUGGCGGAGCAGCAGAGGUGGCAACCUCUGGAUGGGAGCCAUGAGCAGCAGCUGCAGACAGGCACCUCUUCAUGGAGCUGGAACAGGAUGCACAGCCCAGGGCUCCUGUCACCAUCCCACCAGUAUCACCAGGAAAGCUGUGACCCGGAUGAGCCGUUCAGUCUCCUUCCUGCACAAUAGUUCUGCCUUCUGCCAGCUCUUGCCCUGAAAAGCUGCAGGUUC
rnacentral:lncRNA from 1 species